GCGUCUAAGUAUAUGGGUUAUGCCGCGCGCCUUCCAAGCGUUGCAGAGUGGGGUUCGAGUCCCCCUAGACGCUCCA
rnacentral:tRNA from 1 species